rnacentral:rRNA from 1 species
GGACUACCGGGGUAUCUAAUCCUGUUUGAUCCCCACGCUUUCGCGCCUCAGCGUCAGUAUCCGUCCAGAGGGCCGCCUUCGCCACCGGUGUUCCUCCUGAUAUCUACGCAUUUCACCGCUACACCAGGAAUUCCACCCUCCUCUCCGGUACUCGAGUCUGUCGGUUUCCGGCGCAGUUCCCCAGGUGAGCCGGGGGCUUUCACACCGAACUUAACAGACCGCCUACGCGCCCUUUACGCCCAGUAAUUCCGAACAACGCUUGCACCCUCCGUCUUACCGCGGCUGCUGGCAC